rnacentral:rRNA from 1 species
CAGCAGCCGCGGGAAUGCGAAGGGUGCAAGCGUUAAUCGGAAUUACUGGGCGUAAAGCGUGCGCAGGCGGUUUGUUAAGACAGAUGUGAAAUCCCCGGGCUCAACCUGGGAACUGCAUUUGUGACUGGCAAGCUAGAGUGUGGCAGAGGGGGGUGGAAUUCCGCGUGUAGCAGUGAAAUGCGUAGAUAUGCGGAGGAACACCGAUGGCGAAGGCAGCCCCCUGGGCCAACACUGACGCUCAUGCACGAAAGCGUGGGGAGCAAACAGGAUUAGAUACCCGCGUAGUCCCUGUCUCUUAUAA